GGAAAAAAACAGCCAGGGUUUGUAGAAGAACUCACACUUUGAAUGAGGCAGUUUUUUCCCUUCAGCGUGCGCUCCCCCAGCAAAUACGUUCUCAUACCGCAGGCAGUGAUGCUGGCUCCCAGCUGAUGUGCUUCUGUGAGAAAAGCAGCUAGAAGCUGACAGAUCCUAAAGCUUGGAAAGACAUACAGGGUAACUCAGCAUAGCUGGUUUGGGUGUUUAUUCAGAAUCUGGUGCAGAUUUAACAAGCUGUCGGGCAAACAUGAAUGAAACCCCAAUGAAAACCCCAAGCAGUGGCCAAGAAGGUGGUGGGGAGGGAAGGCUCUCAGUGUGCUUGUGCUGCUGUAGAGCUGGGGGUUUGCUUGCUCUGUACUCCAGAAAGCAGCACAGCCGGGCUGCACUGGCAUGAAGCCUGAGCUAAAACCCAGCUUCUCUGCAUGAUUCCUUAGCUGAAGGCAUAGAGCAUUUCUUUUCUCCUUUUUUUCUCAGUGCUGAGCGAGCUCGUGUCUUCCUGCAGCCUACGCUGUAGGCCCUAAGAAAUGAAUGUGUAAAUAUUUUGUCUCUCACAGCAGCCCAAGGUCAUCUUUCUGGAACAGCAAACAGGCACAGAAUCCAAAGAAGAUCAGUCUGUCAUAUGAGUAAGGUUAGCAUCUGCACUUACAAAUGACAAAGGCUAUUAAUCCUCAUGCUGUAAUCCCCAAGCUGUUUGCCAGCUGGCAGCAGGAAGAUGUUCCUGCUCAACCCACACAGCUAUCCAUGUUUUUUCACCUUUAUAAAGCAGAUAUAGGUCAAUACUGUAGCCUGGAUAAAGAACUUGGUAGAUACCAUUCAUCUCUUCUAGUGUUACAAUCCUUCUCGGCUCCACACAAGCCAUCUGUACAAACGAGGAUGCAAAAGCAGAGUUGCUGGCUGGGCUCUCCCUGUGCUGCUCCCCCAAAAUAGAAGGCUGAGGGUAAGAUUCUUUUUCCCCCACUCUGCUCUUGAGUUUGCCAUGGGAGGAAGAAUUUUGAGAUCUCUCUGCAGAGCUCAACAGCCUAAGCAAAGCUCUGUCACUACACAGGUCUUUGUACACAGAGCAGGGAAAACCCAGUGCUUGUAGAAGGCAGAUAGAAGUCCAACAUCGAGACUUUGUUCAUCCCAAUUUGGGAACCUGCAUGGUAUUUGGGUGUUGCCCAUCACAGGAACAUAAAACCCAGAAUCCUGCGAGGUACCACUGAUGAAGCAGGACAAAGCCUGCUGCUUGGCAGUGAUGCAGGUAAGCUGUGGUAGUCCAUAAGAUCCUGCACAACAAUAAACUAUAUGAUCACCAUGUUACAACCAGUGAGCAUGAGGCAGCUGAGGUUGAAAAAAGUUGAGCAGGAGACCCAGGAGCCGGAUGAGAGUUAAGAAGCUCCAUUCAGACCUGUUAGUUGCUCUUCUAUCUAGAAAAUUAGAAAGCAAAUAGUUGGGUUUUACGUAACAGAAGUGGUUUAACAGAAAUCACAGCUCCUUGGGCAGCUGCAGGUGUGAGGAAGUGAGGACGUUAGCUCCUGGCUCAUGUGUUUCCUCCCAGCUGUUAAUGGGUGACCAUCAAAUAAGUACCAAAUAUUCUGGAGGUGUCUAUCCCCUGUAACAUCAUACUCAGCGUGGGCUGAUCUCGUUGAGUAACAAGACAAAAAGCUGAUCUUGGCCAUGGGGGAAGAAAGAGGACUCAGGAUUCAGACAAAAGCUAAAUUCUCUCCUGAGUCCCACAACCAUUAAUUAGCCUUGACCUCCAAGGAAGACACUUCAUUGUGCCAAGUACUUCCCUCUCCUUUCAUUUCUCAGACUUAGGAUAACAUUGCAAAUUUCUUUCUUCAUUAGCAGCUGGAAAAAUCAUAUAAUUUUGCUAACUUUCCUUAUCCCUGUUGUGUCUUGUUAACACUUUCUAGGUGCUUUUACUUCACACUGUCUCCAUCAUUGCAUCUCCAAUACUCUCAUUAAGAUCUGUAGAGAUCUGCCUGGUAGCAAUAUUUUAUCUUCAUGGUACUCAGGAUAAAACCUAUCUUUCAAUCUGUUGCUGUCACUACGUGGCACCUCAAGCACAAGUUUUCCAAUUAAGCUGGUACCACAUCUCUCCUAUAGUCCUCUGCUGGCAUUGCCAUGGUUUUUGUCUUGCUGGGCUCUAUUCUCAGCUGUGACUUCAUUGACUUUUUCCCAGAAGAGUUUUGUUUGUCAAGAAGAGUAAAUGAAGUAAUCAUUUGGUAGACUCAACAUUUAAAUACUCUGUGGCAUUUAUAUGUGUGUAUAUAUAAAAAUGUUUUUUAUGGUAGAGUGCCCCAAGGCAUUUGCAUGAAGCACAUCUCAAUGUAUAUUUGACUGUUGAUUUAAAUAUAUUGUAUGCAAUAAGU
ensembl:lncRNA